CAAAGGCAAAAAUAAUGUGUUGAUGAAUGAGUGAGUCUGUGUUCCAGUAGGCUUUGUUUGUGGGCCCUGAAAUUUGAAUUUCAUAUAAUACACAUUUGUGAUUAAUGUUCUUUUUUUUUGAUGUUUUUCAAAUAUUUAUUAACUUGCAGGCUGCCAAAAACAACAGCAGCAAAGCACAGAUGGGAGACCACAUGACCUAUGGGCUGCAGUUUGCUAACUUUUACUCUUUAAGAUAUAGACAUAUAUAACUAAAGUGAAAACAUUUCAUAAAUGUUGUUUUAUUGUAGAUAUUACCAGAUUCUAGCAUUCUAGAGUUAUGAAAGGAUUUAUGUUUCUAUCCUUAUAUAUAGACUUAAAAACUGCAGUUUAUUUACAAUGAGCAUCUUUGUAAGUGGAUAAUUUAAAUAAUGAAAGAAAAAGCAUAUUGCUGUAGUACAUAGAUAACUGAUUAACGGUGUGAGAGUUCAGGAUUUUCUGUUCAACUCUGAUGCUAAGCCAGGACUUAAUACAUUAGAUUUUCUCAUCUCUAAAACGGGAAUAAUUCUGACUCUUCGAUCCUUAUAGGACUGUGGUAAAAACCAAAUGAGACUAUGCUCCUGGAAAUUCCUGGAAAAGAUCAAGUGCUACAUAUGUGUAAUUUUCCAGGAGCAUCCCAGAAGUUCUUGGGCUGGUAUAAUUUCUCUUAACAACUGUGUGGGAAAGUACUGCUAUACAAAUGGAUAAAUAUAGACAGGACUUGACAAGUCAUCUGUUCAUGGAAGACACUUCCGGAGAUAACCUUCAACAUUUCCAGUGGAGGAUCCAGUCCCUGCAGGAAGUGCCUUGCAGAACCUCGGCAUGCUUAUUAAAGAGCAAAUGUUCUGAGAGAGCAGGAAAUGGCUUCUCUGUCCUUUUCCAGUCAUGUGUACCCUCUGGGGCACACCUGCUCCACUCCCAUGCCGCCUGUUGCUUCUGUGGGGUUGACAGUGGUGGGGGUGGUGUGCAGAGUUUUAUUUACUUUGUUACAUUAUUUACGUUUUCGGAUUAUUCCUGGGAUGAAUUGCUAUGAAGCCCACAUUUACUUAGCAUAAACUUCGGUAACAGCUUAAUAGAAAUUAAAUUUCAAGUCAUCUCUCUUUGAGAAAUAUUAGGAUUUAUUAGUGGGUCCCCCCAAAAACUAAUUCAUCUGCAUGGAUACAUUUCAGCCUUAAGUAAUGGAGGAAACUUUGUGUGCUAUUGUCUGUAAUUAUAUUCAGCACAUUCCCUUCUUCCCCUCUCCCCUUUCUGUAUCCUCUGAUGAUUAGCCUGGUGGGAGAAGCCUUGUCUUUGCCCAAGGCCUUAGGAAAGCAGUAAUGGUCCCCAAGAGAGAAAUUGGCUGUACUGAGAGAUAAAGGAGGGAAAGGAGGAAGAGAGUGAAAAUAAGGAAAUGGUCAGGUCACAGCCCAUGACUUAUAAAAACAUGUUGAAGCGAAAAGAAAUGAACAUGUUAAAUCUAAGAAGUAUGAAAUGGCUUUCUCAUGAAUCUCUAAAUGGCUGAAAGAAACCGCACAGUAGUUAAGCAUCCCUGCUUGUGCUGUGGGCCAGGAAAAAGACGGUGCGUGCUCUGUGCUGUGGCCAAAUCAGUCUCCUAGAAGAACAGCUUGAUCAUGUCAUUCCUGUGCUCAAGAACAAACACCUAAGGGAACUGGGAGGAUUCUGCGUCCCAAUUUUGCCACUUGCCCAUUUGCCCUUGGGUAAUGCACUGGCCUCUUGUUGCUUCAGUGCGUUCAUGUCUUAAACGGUAAAGUGAUGAAACCUACCUCUCGUGGUAAUUAUAAGGAUGACACGUAAUAAUGUAGGUAAAACUCUUCGCACAGUGAUGCAUAAUCAGAUCAUCAGUGCUUGUUGUUAUUAAUAGAUAAGGUACGUCUUUCUUGGCAUAGCAUUCAAGGUCUUUUACCAUCUCUCACCUACCUGUCUUUAAGCAGGAUGUCCUGCCAUUCGACUCCAGGAGAUCUUUCCUCCAACUAAAGCAGUACCAUGCAUUACAACUUGAUGUGUGUUCCAUUUCCUUUAUUACCUGGUAAUCCCUUUUUGUGUAAGAGAUGAGAUCUUAGUUUCAGAACUCCCAGUGACCAGAUGAGUCCUUAUAAAAUGCAGAUGCAUCCCUACUUAUGAAAAGACUAGGUUCACAAAACCUGAAAAUUUAAGCCCAUGUGUUUGUAAAUCCAUAGUGUUUUUAUUUAUUUAUUUAUUUUAAAAUAUACAUUUUAUUUAUUUUAAUUGGAGGUUAAUUACUUUACAAUAUUGUAUUGGUUUUGCCAUACGUCAACAUGAAUCCUCCACAGGUAUACAUGUGUUCCCCAUCCUGAUAGUGUUUUUAAAAGGAUUUAAGCUUGUGGGUAGGACACCAAUUCAGCCUUGAGUUUUCCUCUAUGUAAAUUGAAAGAGCUGAAUGAGAUGAUUCAUCAAUAAACUUGAAUCUCUCCAGCUUAAAAGUAUUGUG
ensembl:lncRNA